rnacentral:rRNA from 1 species
AGCUCCAAUAGCGUAUAUUAAAGUUGCUGCAGUUAAAAAGCUCGUAGUUGGAUUUGUGGCGCGGCCGUCCGGCGGGGCUCCUUCAUUGGGGCCGUUUGUCUGGUUUUUCGGCCGCCCCAUUCUCGGGUAGUGUGUCGCUGGCAUUAGGUUGUCGGCUUCUUCACGCCCGUCGUUUACUGUGAAAAAAUUAGAGUGUUCAAAGCAGGCUUAGGCCGUUGGAUACAUUAGCAUGGAAUAAUGAGAUAGGGCCACGACGGUCUAUUUUGUUGGUUUGCACGUUGUGGUAAUGAUUAACAGGAACGGUUGGGGGUAUUCGUAUUCAAUUGUCAGAGGUGAAAUUCUUGGAUUUAUUAAAGACUAACUAAUGCGAAAGCAUUUGCCAAGGAUGUUUUCAUUAAUC